UACGUAGGGUCCGAGCGUUGUCCGGAAUUACUGGGCGUAAAGAGCUCGUAGGUGGUUUGUCGCGUUGUUCGUGAAAACUCACAGCUCAACUGUGGGCGUGCGGGCGAUACGGGCAGACUGGAGUACUGCAGGGGAGACUGGAAUUCCUGGUGUAGCGGUGAAAUGCGCAGAUAUCAGGAGGAACACCGGUGGCGAAGGCGGGUCUCUGGGCAACAACUGACGCUGAGGAGCGAAAGCGUGGGGAGCAAACAGG
rnacentral:rRNA from 1 species